UAGGGAUACAGCAGCCAGGCGCCAACUGACAGACUUCUUAAUGCCCAUCAUGAGACCAUACUGAUAUAGAUAAUCAAAAAAUAAAUAAAUGGGACAAAAAAGGCUCCCAUAAAAAAGAAUUCCGAAUAAUUUAUGUAUUUACUCUUCUAGCCACUCUUCACUGAAGGCUGUGAUAGCAACUUUACAGUGGAGAGACCUGACAAGCACUAACUCCACCAGGUGGUCAUUAUUAAUGUCAGCAGUGAUGUAUCAUCUUGAUAGGACAUACACUGGAUAUGAUGUGAUGAACGUGGGCAUUCUACAAAACGCCUGACCAUAACACCUCAAAACUGUCAAGAUUGUAAAAAGCAAGAAAAACCCGACAAACUGUCAUUGUCACGAGCCUAUGAAGACAUGUGAGUUAAAUGCUACAGAAUAUCAUGGGUGGGAUCUUGACACAGAGAAAAAAUAUUAAUUCAAAGUAAGAAAAUCUGAAUAAAGCAUGGAGUCUAGUUAAUAAGAAUUAAUAAAAAUAUGCUCAUUAAUUAUUUUAAAAUGCAUUAUCCUAAUAUAACGUAAUAAUUGGGGAACCUGGGUGUGAUAUUUGGGAAUUUAAUAUACUAUAUUUGCAAUGUUAUUUUUUUAAGUUAUCAAAAUUCUAUUCAGUGGAAGAUAUAAAAAUAGCCUAAUUCAAGCUUCUAAAAAUCCAAACUACACUGUGAAAUGUACUGAAUAGAAUGAAUAACAAAUUUAAUGUUGCAGAAAAAAAUAAAUAAACUUGAAGAGCGAGAGAAAUAUACACUACCAAAACUUAAACACAGAAACAGAAAAAAAAGCAAAUCUAAAAAAAAAGAAUCAGCGAAUGUCAACAUCAGGUGGCUUGAGCUUGAUAUAUAUGUAAUUUGCAUCUUCAAAACGGAGGAAAGUAAUGAGAGACAAAAUAAACAAUUAAAAUAAUAAUGGCUGCUUUUUAAAAAAUUUGAUGCAAACUGUAAACCAACAGAUACAAGGAUCUCUGUGAAGAGCAAGCACAGGAAACAUGAGGCAAACAGAUCCAAGUCAUAUCAUAAUAAAUUUGCUAUAAACCAUUGAUAAAGAGGAAAUUUUAAAAGCAUCAAGUGGGGGCAGGCAAAGAAAUGUUACAUACAGAGGGGCACAAAGAAAGAUGAAAGUUGGUUUCUAAUCAGAAACAAUGGCAGCAAGAAGACAGAGGACCAACACAUUUAAAGUGAUUAAAAAAUAUUUUUUAAAUAUUACAUAAAAAGUGGAAAUAAAGACGUUUUCAAAUAUACAGUGAUACAGUUUGGCUGUGUCCCCACCCAAAUCUCAAUUUGAAUUGGAUCGCCCAAAAUUCCCAUGUGUUGUGGGAGGGACCCAGGGGGAGGUAAUUGAAUCCUGGGGGCUGGUCUUUUCCGUGCCAUUCUCAUUAUCGUGGAUAACUCUCACGAGAUCUGAUGGGUUUAGCAGGGGCUUCUGCUUUUGCUUCUUCCUCAUUUUCUUGCUGCCACCAUGUGAGACAUACCUUUCACAUCCCACCAUGAUUCUGAGGCCUCCCCAGACAUGUGGAACUGUUAAGUCCAAUUAAACCUCAUUUUCUUUCCAGCCUUGGGUAUGUAUUUAUCAGUAGCAUGAAAACGGACUAAUACAGUAAAUUGGUACCAGUAUAGUGGGGCAUUGCUGAAAACAUACCCGAAAACGUGAAAGUGACUUUGAAACUGGGUAACAGGCAGAGGAUGGAACAGUUUGGAGGGCUCAGAAAAAGACAGGAAAAUGUGGGAAAGUUUGGAACCUCCUAGAGACUUGUUGAAUGGCUUUGACAAAAAUGCUUAUAGUGAUAUGAACAAUAAGGUCCAGGCUGAGGUGGUCUCAGAUGAAGAUGAGGAACUUGUUGGGAACUGAAGCAAAGGUGACUCUUGUUAUGUUUUAGCAGAGACUGGCAGCAUUUUGCUCCUGCUCUAGCAAUUUGUGAAACUUUGAACUUGAGAGAGAUGAGUUAGGGUAUCUGGUGGAAGAAGUUUCUAAGCAGCAAAGCAUUCAGAAGGUGACUUGGGUGCUAUGAAAAGCCUUCCAUUUUAAAAGGGAGCAGCAUAAAAGUUCAGAAAAUUUUCAGCCUGAGGAGGCAGUAGGAAAAACAAACAAACAAACAAACAAACAAAAUUUUCUGAGGAGAAAUUCAAGCCAGCUGCAGAAGUUUGCCAUAAG
rnacentral:lncRNA from 1 species